GGGUUGGGCAGCCAUCUGUUGGUGUGUGAGCAUAGAGGAGUUUCUUCUCUUAGGUGAGCGUCCUAGAUCUAUUCUAGAAUUUUAGGAGAGAAAAUAUCUAAGAAGAAAAGAGUUCUUCUCUCCUUCUUUCUGUGCCACAUAUUCCUCCUAAUCCAUCUUCAGAUCCAAAAGAGUCUGGAACAUCUAAAGAUAGAAGAUAGAUCCACCAUCUACAAGUUUCUAUGCAAGCUAGCACUCCCGCAGAAGCUGAUCCGAGUGGUGCUUCAAGUGGAUCACCUGUAGAGGCUAGACAUCCUGUGCGGUUGCGAGCAAUCUUCAAGUCCAU
rnacentral:lncRNA from 1 species